CACUCCUGCGGGAGGCAGCAGUGAGGAAUAUUGGACAAUGGGUGGAAGCCUGAUCCAGCCAUCCCGCGUGCAGGAAGACGGCCCUAUGGGUUGUAAACUGCUUUUAUCUGGGGAUAAACCUACUUACGUGUAAGUAGCUGAAGGUACCAGAAGAAUAAGCACCGGCUAACUCCGUGCCAGCAGCCGCGGUAAUACGGAGGGUGCAAGCGUUAUCCGGAUUUAUUGGGUUUAAAGGGUCCGUAGGCGGACUGAUAAGUCAGUGGUGAAAUCCGACAGCUUAACUGUCGAACUGCCAUUGAUACUGUUAGUCUUGAGUAAGGUUGAAGUGGCUGGAAUAAGUAGUGUAGCGGUGAAAUGCAUAGAUAUUACUUAGAACACCAAUUGCGAAGGCAGGUCACUAAGUCUUAACUGACGCUGAUGGACGAAAGCGUGGGGAGCGAACAGGAUUAGAAACCCUGGUAGUCCCAUGA
rnacentral:rRNA from 1 species